AGACCCGAAACCCGGUGAUCUAGCCAUGGGCAGGUUGAAGGUUGGGUAACACUAACUGGAGGACCGAACCGACUAAUGUUGAAAAAUUAGCGGAUGACCUGUGGCUGGGGGUGAAAGGCCAAUCAAACCGGGAGAUAGCUGGUUCUCCCCGAAAGCUAUUUAGGUAGCGCCUCGUGAAUUCAUCUCCGGGGGUAGAGCACUGUUUCGGCUAGGGGGCCAUCCCGGCUUACCAACCCGAUGCAAACUGCGAAUACCGGAGAAUGUUAUCACGGGAGACACACGGCGGGUGCUAACGUCCGUCGUGAAGAGGGAAACAACCCAGACCGCCAGCUAAGGUCCCAAAGUCAUGGUUAAGUGGGAAACGAUGUGGGAAGGCCCAGACAGCCAGGAUGUUGGCUUAGAAGCAGCCAUCAUUUAAAGAAAGCGUAAUAGCUCACUGGUCGAGUCGGCCUGCGCGGAAGAUGUAACGGGGCUAAACCAUGCACCGAAGCUGCGGCAGCGAACGUAUCACUUAAAGCGAUU
rnacentral:rRNA from 2 species